AGUGAACGCUGGCGGUAGGCCUAACACAUGCAAGUCGAACGGCAGCACAGUAAGAGCUUGCUCUUACGGGUGGCGAGUGGCGGACGGGUGAGGAAUAAAUCGGAAUCUACUUUUUCGUGGGGGAUAACGUAGGGAAACUUACGCUAAUACCGCAUAAGACCUACGGGUGAAAGCAGGGGAUCUUCGGACCUUGCGCGAUUGAAUGAGCCGAUGUCGGAUUAGCUAGUUGGCGGGGUAAAGGCCCACCAAGGCGACGAUCCGUAGCUGGUCUGAGAGGAUGAUCAGCCACACUGGAACUGAGACACGGUCCAGACUCCUACGGGAGGCAGCAGUGGGGAAUAUUGGACAAUGGGCGCAAGCCUGAUCCAGCCAUACCGCGUGGGUGAAGAAGGCCUUCGGGUUGUAAAGCCCUUUUGUUGGGAAAGAAAAGCAGCAGGUUAAUACCCCGCUGUUCUGACGGUACCCAAAGAAUAAGCACCGGCUAACUUCGUG
rnacentral:rRNA from 1 species